GGCAGUGGUAGCUCAGUGGUUAAUUUGUUAGCCUACUAAUUGGAAGGUCAUGAGUUCAAAUCCCAUUACUGCUA